UACGAAGGGAGCUAGCGUUGUUCGGAAUCACUGGGCGUAAAGCGCACGUAGGCGGAUGUGUCAGUCAGGGGUGAAAUCCCGGAGCUCAACUUCGGAACUGCCCUUGAUACAGCACGUCUUGAGUCCGGAAGAGGUGGGUGGAAUUCCUAGUGUAGAGGUGAAAUUCGUAGAUAUUAGGAAGAACACCAGUGGCGAAGGCGGCUCACUGGCCCGGUACUGACGCUGAGGCGCGAAAGCGUGGGGAGCAAACAGG
rnacentral:rRNA from 1 species